UUCACAGCCGACCCGGUAAGGAUCGUUCCGGACUUGUUGGUCAGCCACUGCGGGACAGCAGACCGGGUCUGCCGGGGUCCGGGCUCUGGGUAUCUGGGGCUUGUGACGUUGUCAGAGACACUGAACGACCGGUUGUCAUGUGUGAUGCUGCGGCUGAAUCCAGUUUCCAUCCGGACUGGACCGCUCCUCGUUCAGGUCCAAAGUGAGUACGCCUGUGUUACGUCCUCUGGUGGUUUCCGUUUAGCUGAGCACCGGAGAAAACUGCUCAACCUCGCGUCAUAACGUGCCUGAGGAGACCUGGUCCCGCACCACGAUUCUAGGAACAUUUCCAGGUCGUGAGCCGCGGCAGAAAUUUCGCCCGCCAUCAGUUUGAAAAUCAACUCAUCACUUGAGAAAUUUCUUAGACAACUGAAAACCGAAGGGCUCCAGCUUCAUCCUGCGCCUUGAGGAGAAAACGACCUGACUCGUCACCAGUCGGUAUCGGACAGAAUCCGUCCGCAGACAAACCUUCAUUCGCACUUUGACCUUUGACCCUUUUCUGGACACGUGGCUACUCACAGCUCGUGGAGGCUGCGGAGGUCGGGGAGCACGUGGGCAGGCAGAGCAGACAGCUCGUUCAUACUCAGAUCCCUGAAACAAACAGGCAACAAACAGCGUGUCAGCACAUCUGUCCAGCUGUUCACCUCAUGGCACAGGUAUGUUUCAGAGAGAGAGUCACAGUCGGUGUCUGAGUCAGUGCUGUGAAGGACAAGGGCACCGGAAACCAGAGACUACAUUAGCGGCUCUGCUGAGGUGUCUCAAUGACUCUGCGUCACGUUUAUUUCAGGGGUUACAGACGCAGCAGGGACACGACUCGUGAAUCAAUGACAAUAGAGUACAUAUUAAAAGUGUGUGUUUUCGGAGAAACUCCAGAGAAAUGAUUGACUGUUUUUAUUAUGAUCAAUUCAAUCAGUUAAUUAUGUCCCGCUGGGUUUGUAACAUCCAAUUCACGAUGAAAAAAAGUGAGAAAGGUAAAGAAGAAAAAAGAGGAAAACCACUAACGAUUUGUCCUUCAGAGUCAAAAGCUUUUUCCUUUUUCUAACCAACGCGCGACGGCCUGCAGCUGCCGAGUCCCCGAGACAGAAACGCCGCGCUUCAGUUCUCUCUCAUCUGUCGGUCCGUUUAUUCAUGUAGGUCCUGGACAAGGCGCUAAAAUAAUUUUAUGAACAAGAUUUAAUUACGUUUUAUUUAGAUUCUUGUACUAAAUGAUUUUUUUAAUCAGCGUGUUUUAUGUAUUUUACAAGGAAAUUCCUUCAGUGCGAGAGGAUUUGCUCCUUCAGGAAUCCGUAAAAUCCACCUCGACCUCGUCUCCUCGGCCUGCGGUGCUAAUGUAAAAACUGAGCAACCCCGACUCUUUAAACUAUAUUUGUGAACAAAAAAUGUACAUGAAUAUUAUUAUUUAUUUGCAUUUUUCCUUUUUACCACUUAGUUUGACGCAGUAUUUUAAUCAUAAACAGACGGAUCAGGGCCACAGCUUUGUGCCUCCACAUUUAUUUUCUGGUUGAAGAUGUUUUUCAGUCUCCCGUCUGUGUUUCCAUCCAGCCGCACUUUUACUCUCAGUCUUACUCUUUCACAAAUCUGCUGUCUGAAAUUUGUAAAACUCGGAUUUGAAUGAAUUUAAAUAAUUAAAUUACAGACAAACCAUUUUUUUUCUCUCACUGUGAACAGAGAGGAGGAGUUCUUUGAAAAACUGUUUUUCGCUCUUUGUCAGUUCCUCAAACAGCUUCAGUCGCAUAAGAAACUCCUGCUGUUCCAGAUAUGAAUUAUCCUCUUUACCAACCGACAUGAUUUACGGUGCUUUAAAACCUUUUUGUCUGGUUUUGUUCUAAAACCAUCCAUCACUCGGUUUCCAGUACAACACCCUGUUCGCGUUUUCUCAAUUUAAAUCCUUGUUUAACCCUAAAAUCCACAGAGAUUCUACUAAAAUCUACUUUUCUAACUGAUGUUUGUUAAAAAGCUAAAAUUAAAUGUUACAAAUAUUGAGCUGCUUAAUUUGAAAGUAACUGAAGAUUUUUAAUCUAACUGUGGUUAUACAAUCCCAGUUGCGGCCUUGAAAAUCCCUGCACAUGGUAUUUUUCAUUAGGUUGUGUCUUAUUAAAAAUAUUCUAAAAUAUUUAACAGUUUUUGAAGAUUGAUUUCAGGUGUUUAUCCCUUUUUAAAACUCUUCACACAGUCACAACGGCAGCAGUUAAUGUGGACUAAAGACCACAUCUUUGAAAAUUCACCACCAAACCUCUGUAUUUAGACUCCAUUUUAAACAUACUGUGUAAAAACUCCUGCAUUUACAUUAAAAACUUAAAAACACAACUGAAAAUGACUGUAAAUUAGACUUUUAAAUUAGACAUUUGCUACAUCUACAGCUAAAAAAAAAUAGUGAACUAAAAUAAAGAUACAGAAAGGGAUAAUUAGGCCAUAAAACACGGACGCCUCCUUUCAUUCCUGUCUUGUUGGGACACAUCUCAGGGUCUGAUCCCGAGAUGUGUGUGAAGAUGAAGAUUCGUAUAGAGGAAUACUGUACGUGUAACCGGGACCAAAGAAAAACAAGAAAACCAGUGAAUGAAACAGAAAUCGUCUCAUUGACAGUACAGAAACGUCAGGACUUGAUGGAGACUUGAUUCCUUUAUGAGGUUUCUUUUUUUGGUUUUUCUUAUGUCAGCGGGUUUCAAGCUCACACGUCUCCCGUGUACCGGGACCUCAAUCUUACCAACAGUUAAACUCGGUGAAACAGGUGAGAACUGUGUGAAACUGGCUGGAAACUCACAGUAUGUACGAGGGUCAGCGUCGGCACCAUAAAACCUCGGCAGGGAAUCGACCUGCAGUUUCAGUACUGUCAGUAAAAGUGUGAUUUUUCCAGAAACGGAGCUCUGCUUCAGUGGCCUGACUGAAUGACUGAAGCUAAGUGCUGCGGGAAUCUUUUAAAUAUUUUAUUUCAAAAUUUUUUUUGUCACAAUAAAAUGUGAAAAACACAAAAUGCUUUACAAACUUGUUGAUGAAUCUGUAAAUGGUUCAAAUCCAACAAAGAGAAAAGUGAGACUGCAACAAAAGUUUUGGUGCUAAAGAUAAAUUUCACAUUAAUGUGAAAUUAUUCAAAUGUUGACUAUACUUAUUUAAAGCAUUGGUCUUUCAAAUUCUAUUUUGAAUUAACACCAUCACAUAUUUUGGCCACAUUUUUUCUACGUCCUUUGAUUUAGUCAGCAGGAUUUUCUCUGAGGCCGAGGACACAGUUUUUCUAUAAUUCAAUCUUAAAUGUGAGGGAGAAAACGUAGAACGAGACUUUUACCUGGUUCAGUAAG